rnacentral:tRNA from 1 species
GGGCACGUAGUCGAGCUCGGAAAGACGCCGCCUUCGCAAGGCGGAAACCAGGGGUUCAAAUCCCCUCGUGUCCA